ACGGGGGGGGCAAGCGUUGUUCGGAAUUACUGGGCGUAAAGGGUUUGUAGGUGGCCCGCUAAGUCACACGUGAAAUCCCUCAGCUUAACUGGGGAACUGCGUGUGAGACUGGCAGGCUCGAGGGCAGGAGAGGAACGCGGAAUUCCAGGUGUAGCGGUGAAAUGCGUAGAUAUCUGGAGGAACACCCAUGGCGAAGGCAGGUUACUGGGCAUUAUCUGACGCUGAGGCGCGAAAGCGUGGGUAGCAAACAGGA
rnacentral:rRNA from 1 species